UGGGGAAUUUUGGACAAUGGGCGCAAGCCUGAUCCAGCCAUGCCGCGUGCGGGAAGAAGGCCUUCGGGUUGUAAACCGCUUUUGUCAGGGAAGAAAUCUUCUGAGUUAAAUACCUCGGGAGGAUGACGGUACCUGAAGAAUAAGCACCGGCUAACUACGUGCCAGCAGCCGCGGUAAUACGUAGGGUGCAAGCGUUAAUCGGAAUUACUGGGCGUAAAGCGUGCGCAGGCGGUUUUGUAAGACAGAGGUGAAAUCCCCGGGCUCAACCUGGGAACUGCUUUUGUGACUGCAAGGCUUGAGUGCGGCAGAGGGGGAUGGAAUUCCGCGUGUAGCAGUGAAAUGCGUAGAUAUGCGGAGGAACACCGAUGGCGAAGGCAAUCCCCUGGGCCUGCACUGACGCUCAUGCA
rnacentral:rRNA from 1 species